ACGGAAGGCAGCAGUGAGGAAUAUUGGUCAAUGGGCGAGAGCCUGAACCAGCCAAGUCGCGUGAAGGAUGAAGGUUCUAUGGAUUGUAAACUUCUUUUGUUCGAGGGUAAAGUGAUCUACGUGUAGGUUAUUGCAAGUAUCGAACGAACAAGCAUCGGCUAACUCCGCGCCAGCAGCCGCGGUAAUACGGAGGAUGCGAGCGUUAUCCGGAUUUAUUGGGUUUAAAGGGUGCGUAGGCGGGAUGUUAAGUCAGCGGUUAAAUUGUGUAGCUCAACUAUACUUUGCCGUUGAAACUGGCGUUCUUGAGUGUAAACGAGGUAGGCGGAAUGUGACGUGUAGCGGUGAAAUGCUUAGAUAUGUCACUGAACCCCGAUUGCGAAGGCAGCUUACUAGGAUACAACUGACGCUGAGGCACGAAAGCGUGGGUAUCAAACAGGAUUAGAUACCCUGGUA
rnacentral:rRNA from 1 species